rnacentral:rRNA from 1 species
CUCAAAGGAAUUGACGGGGGCCCGCACAAGCGGAGGAGCAUGUGGUUUAAUUCGAUGAUACGCGAGGAACCUUACCAGGGCUCGAACGCAGGGGGGAUAUACCUGAAAGGGUAUAGCCAGCGAUGGUCGCCUGCGAGGUGCUGCAUGGUUGUCGUCAGCUCGUGCCGUGAGGUGUCAGGUUAAGUCCUAUAACGAGCACAACCCCUAUCCAUAGUUGCCAGCGGGUAAAGCCGGGGACUCUAUGGGAACUGCCUGCGCAAGCAGAGAGGAAGGAGGGGAUGACGUCAAAUCAGCACGGCCCUUAUGUCCUGGGCUACACACGUGCUACAAUGGUCGGUACAGAGGGCAGCGACCACGUGAGUGGGAGCCAAUCCUUAAAAGCCGAUCUCAGUUCGGAUUGGAGUCUGCAACCCGACUCCAUGAAGUUGGAUUCGCUAGUAAUCGCGCAUCAGCCAUGCGGCGGUGAAUACGUUCCCGGCCCUUGUACACACCGCCCGUCAAGCCAUGGGA